rnacentral:misc_RNA from 1 species
AAGUCGUAACAAGGUUUCCGUAGGUGAACCUGCGGAAGGAUCAUUAUUGAAUGAACUUGGUUGGGUUGUUGCUGGCUCUGAGGAGCAUGUGCACGCCUAACACCAAUUCUUUACCACCUGUGCACUUCUGUAGACUUGAGGGAGACAUUUCGAGGAAACUCGGACUGAGGAUUGCUGAGCGAAAGCCAGCUGUUCUUGAUUCUCCCCAAGUCUAUGCUUUUUACACACUCCAAUGCAUGUAAUAGAAUGAUUUGUGGGCUUUAAUGCCUUUAAACUAAAUACAACUUUCAACAACGGAUCUCUUGGCUCUC